GCCAGCAGCCCUGGCAUGCGGGUUGGGGAAUGCUAGGCCGGCAGACUAGAAUUAGGCACGGACGCUUAGCGGUUGAUUAAAGAUUAUUUUACUUACACCGUAGAUGGUCGCGGUGCAGGCAGGAAAACUUGCUUGAGUUGCAGUUACAGACAGGAAAGAAGAAAAGCGGACAAGAGUUCCUUCCACGCGAACUGUAGCCCAAUCCGGUUGAAGGCUCUAAAAACGCGAGCCUGUCGUGUCAACCGAAGAAAACAACUCGGAGAAGAGCUCUGGAUACACUCACGUGAAAUUUGCUAGGCUCUGUGGAACUUGCGUGCAGGGAAGGGGUUCGUCGAGGGAUCAUUCGGCGACAGGGAGAGGCCAGAGGUUGAUCAGACACCUAUAGCCUUCUUAAGGUACGCACUGGGUUCGAUAGGCCCCGCAGCGCUUAGGGUUCUUCACAAGACGUGAAGCCCUCCUCCUCCAGAUGGUUGUGGAGUCCUCCCUUGCGGGGUUCUCCUCGGAGUUCUCCAACUUGGGCGGAAACCGCUCAAGCCUCUUAUACGGCUAGCAAGCCAAUCACUAGCCGCCACGUGGGAAUAAUUUAGAACUGGCCAAUAGUGGGACACAAAUUUGCAUGCGGGUGGCGGGAACUCCUUUGCACCGUGCAUUUCUCUUUGCAACUGAGAAAUGCACCAUGCAAAGAAAACUCCAAGUGGCGGGAAAUAAUUUAGCAGUGCCGAAGCACACACAAACAAAAUCACACCCUUGGGUUGUGACAGCCCUCAACCUAUGGCCACAGAAGCAAGCUAGGGAGGAGUCUCCCAUUUCCAUAAAGUGGCAUAAAGCCAAGUUCUUCCCACUCCAGCAGCUAAGUGGGAGAUUUACUAUAUAUUACCUUUGCAAGUACUACGCCCAUGCCAGGAGAGCGGAUGCCCCCGGGCUGUGACUAGGAAAACUGCCUCAGUCAUGGUGUUUUCCCUGUGAGGUAAGCAUAGGAUUAUGCUUGAUUUGAGCAGAAAGGCCAAGGAGUUUCAUGCACUAGUGAGCAUUGGGAAUUGUGACUGCUGCAGUCCCACAGCCCUUGGGGUUGUGGGGUGCUUCCAUGGCUGGGAGUCCCUCAACUGAGGGGGAUCCCAGCCGCAGGAGCUUGUUUCUUGCUGGUGCAGAGGGACACUCAGGCCCCCUCUACACAUGCAGGUAAAGACAUGAUGGGGUCUAAUGUAUGAUCCACAUAAUUGUGUCUCCUGCCAUGUCAUAUGUCAUGGCAGUAGGCUUGAUUUUGGGAUUGUGCAUUACAACUCAUCACGCCCUUGCCUACAUGUGUAGAGGGGACCUGAGGGGGUAACAUCUUUAAAAGGAUCUCACCACAACACCCUGGUUGAGGAUCACUGCACUAAGAGAACCUCACCAUAACUAAAUCACAUAUGAAAGUAAUCAGUAAGCCAGCCUCUGCAUGGUUUAACCACAUGUAAAGUUUACUGGAAACAGCUUCCCUAUUCCCACACUCCAUAUAAACCCAUUACAGUUAUUAGAACUUUGAAUGUUUACUUAUAAAGUGUAUGACCUUAUGUAGGUUUUUACCAGGCUUCUCAGCCCUCUAUACCAUAAAAUCCCUUUCGCUCUUAUCUGGUUGUAUAUCCUUGCAGAAAGUUUUGGCAAAUUUUUGUUGUAAUUAAUAUUGUUUUAUUCAGUUAAUUUGAAGAUUGCCCCAGAGAUGGUCAAUAUCCCCUAACAUUCAGGACAAUAUUAUAAUUGAUAAGAGACUAGAUUAUCUUCUUAAAGAUGCUCCAUCAGAAGCAACACUCAGAGGUACCUUUGCACACCUUGAAAAAAUGCAUCUUUCAUUACAUGAAGUAAUCACAUGAAGUUAUGAAGUUAGCCCUGUGAAAAAUUAGUGCAAGACAGCAUUGCUAUUGGACAUCUGAAAAAUAUUUCACACAGAUUUUUACUUUAUUUUUCACAUUUUGUUUAACUGAAUUUUACACAUAAUAUUGCCAUGGGCUAAUUUCAUGUGUAGGUUGGUGGGGAUCCCGGCAGGUCCUCCCAGAGGGGUUUCUUUGUGGGGCUCCACCUCCCCUCACACCCCACCCUCACCACUUCCUGGAUGAUACAUGUUGGGCCUGAAUCUUACAUGGCCCAACACCACUGGCAGCUCAGCAUUGGAGGGCCCAACAAAUACCUCCAAAUAUCUAGGAGUUUAGAUGCUUUCACUCGAGCCCACUGGAGGCCAUUUUCUUUAUUUAAUCAAUCACUCCUGGAUUCAUAGGUCCAUCAGUUAAAACCAGCCCACCUAAAGUCUACCAGGCCAAAUGACCUUUAAUCAGUUCCUCCUGUAUUCUGGGGCCAACCAGUUUGGGUCAGUCCUUUAAGGCCCCAAGCAAAUAAUCAGGUGGGUAAUAAAAAUGAACUUAAAGCAUCUCUUAUUUCCUGGAUUAAUCAGCUCAUCUUAGUCCUUUAAAGAUCCUGAUUAAUUACUUAAAUAGGUAAUCCAAAACAAAUGAAGUCAAGUACCUCCCAGACUCCUGGGUCUGUCAAUUCAGAAUGACUCUUUCCCUUAAACAAAAAUGGGAAAAAAUACAUUCUGCUGGGUUUUUCCCCCCAGCUCAAGUCUUCAGGGCCAGGACCUCCAGGCACCUUCUGUGAUGGAAGCUCUCCCUCCAGCUGAUUUAUGUGACACUGGGGAAGUUAUACUGGCUAAACUAGUGACACCAACCUUUAUCAUAAUUACAUUUAAAACUACCUUACAGGCAUAUUAAGGUUUUGGGACCAAACACUCAAAAGUUAGGAAAUAGAACAAUUAAGUUUGACCCAGAGAUCUUAAUUCAGUUCCUUUGUGAAUAUAUACAUUGUAAUACUGUCUUUAUACAAUCACAUAUUGCUCUUUCAGCAGGACCCUGCCUUAUUCGGUGAAUGAGUAUUUAUUCAGUUCUUUUUAUUUUCCUCUUGGAAUGGGUAGCCCUCUGCUGUAUUUAACAUUUACACCCCUGUGAAAUUUGAUAAUGGUAUUAUCCCAAUUUUAUAGGUAGCAUACAGACACAGAAUAAUUUAGGUCUAAAUUGUCAAAGGCAACUAAAAUUAAUGGAUGCUUAUCUUGAGGCAUCUUGUGUCUCAUUAUUCAAACCAUUCAUCAUUUAUACAGAAUUAUAAAAGUGCAAAGAAUAGCUUCUGCCAGCUGCAUUUGCAGUUGUGAGUGCUCUGGAAAUCUAGUCCCAAAUAUCUUAUGUUAGGGACCCUGAAAAUGAAAAAUGCAUAGGUAGGAUGACAUUCUAUUUUUUCUUGGCCAUCUAAGUGGCCAUUUCUGGCAAAGACACAGUCUAUUCUCGGUGGUCCUGCACACAUGGAGAGCUUGGCUGCUGGUUGCAACCCAUACAGACCUUGAGCAGCAGGAGCAGAGUUUCAUUACCAGACUGACUGCCAUGCAGCGAUGGCACAGGUGAACAGCUGUCAAGGACAGGAUUGUUAGGGUAGCUUGUCAUAUUUUAUGCUUUAAAGUUGCACCUGUUUAUAGAGUGGUGAAUUAUAGCAUUGUUUAAAGUUUUCUUUAUAUUCAACCUAAAGUUCUGUAUAGCCUUGUUGUUAUCUGAACUUUUUAUUUUGCUAGUAUUUGCAAUGUCAGCUGGCCUUGUUUCUUGCAAGCAGCUUAUGGCCUUGAGUUUGCUCGCAUGAUGUUUCUUUCCUUUUUCUAUCACUGUGAGAAGUUUUUCUAACACAACAUAGUAAUAGUUUUGUUACUAGCUCAAAUUAACUGAAUUUGGCACUAACCAGCUGAAUCAGAGGGAUGCAAUGAUUGGAUAUGUUAAUGAAAGGUGAUAAAGGAGACCAAUGGACAAUGCUUAAACUAAGACACCGGAAAAAGGCCAAAUUAAGAGGCGUGCUUGUAAUGGAUGUUGAAGAAAGGAAUAUGUUGACAGGAUAAAAUAUGAACAGUAUGCUGACUGAAUAUAUACCAAUCCAAAAGCAAGGAGUCAUCAAAGGAGUCAAGUUAAAGAAAAGCAUAAAAGGGGGAAGCAAGAAAGUUAAGUGUCGUCGUCAUCAUCAUUUACAUCAUGAAUCCAGCUUUCAACACCUGUCUGGAUCAUCCCAGCCAAUGAUGCACCCUUUGCUUCAGGAACUGAGUGACCAUCUUUUCUGUGAGGCAAAGUAACAUCUGGAAUUGGAAACACAAGGUGAUUUAAGACGGUAUGUUGUUGUAGAAGCAAGCAGAUGACAGAAUGCCAAAGAAAGAAAAGCAGCGUUGUAACCAUGAUGGACCAAGGUAUAUGUGAUUUUGAUAAACCUCAGGCCCAGCAACCUCAACUGGAGUUUUUCAGGUAAAUCUUUACUAGGCUCAACAUUUGGGUCUUGCUUCUACAAACAUGCACCUUCAUAAGUUUAGUCUGCAUGGUCCCACAGGAUGCAGACAUCUAAAGAUAUGCACAAGCUCAGUUGAUUGCAGGAUCUCACCCUUUGCUUAUACUGUAGGAUAGAUUGUUUUUCAGACAGAUCCUACCAAGCAAAUAGCUUGAGGCAAUUUUUUCCCCAUUAGGGUUUAAACCAAGGAUGUACUAUUGAUCCUAAUCUAUUUUUUUAAGUUCUCCUUUGAAGUAUUAUGUCACUUGAAAGUUAGAUCAUCAGUUCCAGAAGUAUUUAUGCAUUUGCAACUCAUAUUUAUUCAUUCUCUCUCAGUAGCAUCUUCUUUCUUGAAGAAACAAUUACACCUAAAAUGUAAAGAUUAGCUCUCCUUUAAGGAAAAAUUAUAUUUACAUAACAUUUUUAAAAGUUACCUUUCAUCUGGUUGAAAUAAUUUUGUAAAGUCUUGGCAAUUUAAAAUACAAUUUUAGAUGGAAAACGGGGCAAAGUUCUGAGCCAGUGUAUAGUUCCCACAGUUUAUAUUAGGCAUAUUGGAUUAACAGCCAUAUGUUGAUUUUGAAGUAUGCAGUAAAACUAAGCCACUAAACAAAAUCAACUUAAUUCUAACAAAAUAGCACAGCCCAUUACUUAGGUCCACAGUCCAUUGUGGACAGAUGAAUCUGCUCCAGAGAAGUCAUGGACCUCACACAGUAUAAAACUAUGCCUCUGGCACUGAAAUCUACAUGAAUGGUAAAUUAAUAGUGCUAUUUGCUUGAUAGAAACAGCGAUCUGCAUUAUCUGUUGGUGUUUUAAGUAGUAGGGACUGGGGGCUGUAGUGGGUGGGUAAGGGGUACAGUUGACAGCCCAGAAGUCACAAAUUCAAGGCAGAAGUGCUUAUGGUAAGACCUGUCCAAUUCUAAAAAAUGGAAAAUUCUGCUAAAUACCUUGCCACAAGGAUACAGGAAAGGACAAACUGCAUUAGAAUACACUGAAAAAUCUUUGACUAGACAAAAGACAUUUAAGAUCAAAAGCUGACCAUGCCCAUGCAUUGGAAUGUAAUUUACAGAAACAGUGCAAAUACUACAAAACUGGAUAAGUGCAUUUAAAUGAGUCAUAAUUAAUGUAAUUCUCUUCUAACUUCUGUUACAACAUUCCAUUUUCUCCUUCUAGCAUAUAUUCCACAUGCUAGGAUGUGCACACCCAUUGUGCACUUUUUGGCAAGAAAAACCUUCAAAAUACCUGUUAGGGUGAUAAUAAUGUGGAUUUUGGGGGAGCAUUGGAUCUGCAGCUGGAACAAGUCUUUUAAUCUGUGUCUCAGCAAAGCUGCUGGUCACAAAGCAGAAUGAUAUAUUAACCUAACCUUGCAACUGCUUAGGCAAGUAGUUUCUUUAACAAUGGAAUAGUGUGCAGGAUACAUGAUUCCUUGUGUAAGAACAAGAUGCAGCCCAUCAACUAUCUUUGGGAGGUAAAAGCAGAAACAAGACCUUGGAGAUGGUGCUGAAAUCAGCAAAAGAACAAGAAAGAACCAGCAAGUGACCAAGAGUACUCAAGUUCAUGGCCUUAUGCUUGCACUCUUAGCAGAGAAGCAUGUAAAUGAAUGAAAUGCAUAGGCAAUUCCAUGCUAAUGAAGUAAACAGUAAACAGAGGAGGAGCUUCAGAUGGGAAGAGAAAUGGGUGGAACCCAAGGAGGGACAUAGGUGGAGUUAAUGAUUAACGUGUCAUGACCCAAUGAUUUUGUGUGUGCUUCGGCACUGCAGAAUUAUUUCCCGCCACAUGGAGCUUUCUUUGCACAGUGCAAUUCUCAGCUGCAGAGAGAAGACCCCAGUGCAAAGGAGUUCCCGCCGCUCGCAUGCAAAUUUGUACCCUAUUAUUGGCUGUUUCUAAAUUAUUCCUACGUGGCCGCUAGCAAUUGGCUCGCUAGCCGUAUAAGAGGCUUGAGCAGUUUCCGCCCAAGUUGGAGAUCUCUGGGGAGGACCUCAUUUAGGGGGACUCCACAUCUAUCUCAUGGAGAACUCUGAGCCACGUGGUAGAGCCUAACAAACUCUGCGCGUCUCGGAGCCGACCGGUGGUUUGAUCAGCCACCAAGACUCUCUCCCCAUCGCCGCACGAUCCCUCGACGUACCCUACCCUGCGCGCUCGUCGAGAGUCACCUUUCAGACUCUCAUUUUGGUCGUUCUAGGGAGCCUAGCAAACUCCGUGAGUGUGUAUCCAGAGCUCUGUUCGUGUUUGUUUUGUGGAGCCUAGCAAACUCCACGUGUGUCUUUUUGUAACUGCAACUCAAGAAAGUUUUUCCUGCCUGCACCGCGACCACCUACGGUGUAAGUAAAACAAUCUUUAAUCAA